rnacentral:rRNA from 1 species
GACGAACGCUGGCGGCGUGCUUAACACAUGCAAGUCGAACGGAAAGGCCCUGCUUUUGUGGGGUGCUCGAGUGGCGAACGGGUGAGUAACACGUGAGUAACCUGCCCUUGACUUUGGGAUAACUUCAGGAAACUGGGGCUAAUACCGGAUAGGAGCUCCUGCUGCAUGGUGGGGGUUGGAAAGUUUCGGCGGUUGGGGAUGGACUCGCGGCUUAUCAGCUUGUUGGUGGGGUAGUGGCUUACCAAGGCUUUGACGGGUAGCCGGCCUGGGAGGGUGACCGGCUCAAUGGGACUAAGGGAAGGACCAGACGCCCAUCGGAGGGAACGGGGGGGAAGUUUUCGAAACGGGGCGGAGGCAGAGUUGACGAUCGCCGGAUCGGGAAGAACGGCUUUCGGGUAGAAACCCAUGUUGCCGUGAAAGUACACGUGAUGACGGUAAUGGGUAAAGAAGCACCGGCUAACUACGUG